UCCCCUACAAGUCCACUGUGGAGCACUUCCCUUUGGACUGCCUUGAGCUGUGGAGCUGGCGCGAUGGUAUUCACCUGAGCGACACUCUUGGGAUGGGGAUCCUGGUGAAGCUGUUUUGGGCUGCUGCCUGUCAGACACUGGAGCCAGCUGCACCCGCGCCUGUGCCUGCAGCUCCUCCUGC